UACGUAGGGGGCAAGCGUUGUCCGGAAUCAUUGGGCGUAAAGAGCGUGUAGGCGGUUCCGUAAGUCCGCUCUGAAAGCCCAGGGCUCAACCCUGGGAGGCGGGUGGAUACUACGGAACUGGAGUACGGAAGAGGAGAUUGGAAUUCCUGGUGUAGCGGUGAAAUGCGCAGAUAUCAGGAGGAACACCAACAGCGAAGGCAGAUCUCUGGGACGUUACUGACGCUGAGACGCGAAAGCGUGGGGAGCAAACAGG
rnacentral:rRNA from 1 species